CAGCAAUGGAGAGAGCGAUGGGGAUAGGCAAGGAGAGGGUGGCAAAAGAGUAAGGCUAAAGAACAUUACACUUUUCUGCCGUGUCAGCCUUGAGCCUUAUCACAGAUGAGAGGAGAGCUUAUUUCUUCCACACUGAGGCACGAAGACAUCUAAGUCCUUCUGCUUUAGCACAGUUGCUCCAGAUUCAAGUUGCAUGGUGACCAAUGCUGUCAAUGAACUUCAACUACAAGCUUCUUGUUGGAUGCUAUGAGACUUCAGCACAAUCCUGGAUUGGGCUCCAGAAUUCAGGGCAUGUGUCUUG